GUUGUCGUGGGCGAGUGGUUAAGGCGAUGGACUAGAAAUCCAUUGAAGUUCCCCGCGCAGGUUCAAAUCCUGCCGAUAAUG
rnacentral:tRNA from 1 species